GGGGUUGCCAAAAGUGGUGGAGUUCCGGCACUUUCAGGUCGAGGUUCACCAAUCAGGAACCGCUCAUAACGGUCUGGUUCCAGGUUCGAGUCCUGGUGGGCCCACCA
rnacentral:tRNA from 1 species